AAUGGAGGGACCUAUUCCUGCUACAAUAUCCCAGUUGGUAAAUAUGACCGAGUUGAGAAUAUCUGAUUUGAGAGGAGAACCAAUGCAAUUCCCAAAUCUUACAGCCUUGACGAAGAUGAGAAGGCUGACUUUGAGAAAUUGCUCAAUUUUCGGUCCUAUUCCGAUAUAUGUAGGUGCCAUGCCUUUGAAGCUUUUGGACUUGAGCAACAACAUGCUGAAUGGUACAAUCCCAGGUGCAUUUGAGCAGAUGGAUUUUGAUAACAUGUUUCUUGGUAACAAUGCAUUAAGCGGAGCAAUUCCCAGCUGGAUGUUUAGUAAAAGAGAGAACAUGGAUAUGUCAUACAACAAUUUCACACAAAUAUCUACUCCAGUAUGCGAUUCCUCUACCUUAAACUUAGCUGCUAGCUACUCCGAUACAAUGAACAACACCACGGAUGCCUGGUGUUCUAUGAAACCCCUCAUUUGUCCCACAGACACGAAAUAUACUUCACUAUUCAUAAACUGCGGAGGACCUAGAACUUCAUUUGAGGGAAAUAAUUAUGAGGCAGACACGACCAAUAGAGGUCCGUCAUAUUUUUCUUCGCCCUCUGACAGAUGGGCUUUCAGCAGUUCAGGAGUGUACGUGGGUCUUCAAGCUGCCAGUUAUAUUGCAUCAAAUACAUUUUCACUGGAUGUGUCCGGUCCUGACUUCUACAAUACAGCACGCCUUGCCCCUAAUUCCCUCAAAUAUUAUGGGCUUUGCCUACAAGGAGGUAGCUACAGAGUGCGCCUUCACUUUGCUGAAAUAAUGUUUUCUAAUGACUCAACAUAUAGCAGCCUUGGAAGGCGGAUAUUUGAUGUAGCAAUACAAGGGAGAGUAGUUUUGAGGGAUUUCAACAUUAUGGAGGAAGCUAACGGUGUUGGGAAAGUCAUUACCAAGGACUUUCCUGAUGUUACUGUUAGUAGCACUCUGGAGAUUCAUUUGUAUUGGACCGGGAAGGGGACUAACGCUAUUCCAGACAGAGGUGUAUAUGGACCACUGAUUUCAGCUAUCACAGUGACACCAAACUUUAGAGUUGACACUGGUAGUGGCUUACCUGUUGGAGCUGUUAUCGGCAUUGUACUCGCUUCAAUUGUAGUGCUUCUGCUAGUUUUAUUUGCUCUGUGGAAGAAAGGCAUUUUUGGAGGGAAAAAUAACCAAGAAGAAUUAGAACUCAGAGCCCUUGAUUUACAAACAG
rnacentral:misc_RNA from 1 species